rnacentral:lncRNA from 1 species
CUGGCCUUCUGAUAGUUUUGCAAGCCUUAAAGGAAAGGGAAAAAAAACGCACACACACCAAAGAAUUCACUUUUUGUUAGCCAUGAAGUAGAAACUCUAAAGGAAACAAAACAGAGGAAGCAGAACAAGAUUUUCACUUAAGAUUUUGUGAAUGAAAAGAGGUUAUGAAUCAUGAGAUUACUAAAAGUAUUAAGUUUUUACCUGUGACAGCAACGAUCCUCGUAACAGCGAAGCAGGCCAGAGCCAUCACGAUACAAAACGAGCUGCUUAUCAAACACAGUAAGGCCUAAAGGUGCAUCUUCUGGCAGGUCCUGGGUUAGAUACAGAGGGUACCAUUCUUCUGUCCAAUCAUAUUCAGCCACGACCCUUUCACCUCUGUGCUCUUCUUCACCGGAAGGACUCACUAGAACCCUGUGAUCUUGUUCCUCUUCUUUCAGAUCAUGAUCAAGUGGAGGAGGUGCAGCAGCCUUGUGUUUGAUAUCAUCAGUGACUGCAUUAAAACUAAUUUUGUGGCUCUUUUUAUUUGUGAAUAUUAAUGGAAAUGGUUUGAGAGGUGGGUUUGAUUUGGCUGUUGUUGAUGUUAAUGGUUUUGAAGCAGUGGAAGAAGAGGGAAAGGUGUGUGAGACUAAAGGGUGAACCAGAGCCAUGUUUCUG